AGCAAUAAAUAAAUAAAACAAAUUAAAGAAACCAAAAGCAACAAAAAAGUAAAAAAACCUGCUUUAAAAUAUUCUAGCAAACAAAUAAUUUGUAUAUGGACUUUCACAUGAAAAUUAUUUUACCUAUUUCUUUACUACCCACAAGGGGCUACACACAGAGGGGACAAACAAGGAUGGACAAACGGAUUAAGUCGACUAUAUCGACCCCAGUGCAUAACUGGUGUUUAAUUUAUCAACCCCGAAAGGAUGAAAGGCAAAGUUGACCUCGGCGGAAUUUGAACACAGAACGUAGUGGCAGGCGAAAUACCGCUAAGCAUUUCACCCGGUGUGCUAACGAUUCUGCCAUCUCACCGAAAAUUAUUUUACCUGGCUAAAAGAUAAAAAAUAACCCACCUUAGUAAGAAAAUAUAUCUAUAAAAUUAAUCAAACAAUUUCGUGUGAGUGUUGGCAUUUGGUGAUCUUGGAUCUCACCAUAGUGGACUGUGGUUUUGGCAAAUGUCCAAACUAGUUGUUCUGUUUUCUGUCUGCCCCAGGCAUCUUGUUGCUUGUGAUGGUUCGUCUGAUAUUCAGAUCUCGGAUGUUGCAACUCACCUGUUUGAAUGUUGUGACAAGGACUAAGAAAGCAAUGUAGCACAAGUGCACCAAAACAUUGUUAGACACGCUUUUUUGAAGUAGUGCCGAUGGAAGCACCAAAGUAUUGGCAGUAAAUUGGCCAGAGUUGUUGUUGUUGUUUAUUUUCUUAUCAAUACCACUGAUACGCAGAUAGUUGACUUGGCCUCCAUAUUUUGUGGCUCUGAUGACAAAUCAUUUUGGCAAUCAUUCAUGGCAAUACUUUGAGGAGGGGGAGAGGGAGGGGAGGGGAAGAAGAGGAAAGCGAAGAAGAAGAAGAUGAUGAUGUUGAUGAUGAUGAUGAUGACAAAGAAUAACAAACAAAAUAAAAAUUACAGAAUAUUCUUAGAAAAAAGGAUCAAUAUAUCUACACAUAAACACACACACACACACACACACACACACACAUACACACACGCACACACACAAAUACACACUCACACACACAUGCAUGUACUGGGACACAUAAACACAGAGCAAACCUAAUGUAAGUUCAACGCAGAAGAACCAACCAAUAUAGAUAAAUGAAGAGAUAUAGACUCGGAUAUUAGCAUGUAUGUAUGUGUCUACUAGAAUGUGUGUGUGUGUCUCUGUGUCUGUGUACACCAAUGAACCAGAUGGGAACCAUGACAACUGUACCUAGAUCUAAAUUACCUUUCCAGACCCACAUUGAACCAAUUUCAAUUUAAUUUUGACUCAUCACAGAAACUAAUACCUUUUUAAUUUUUUGUUAAAAAUCUACAGAUAAAGCGCAAAUUCCAAGAACAUUGACUUGCAGCCUUCAAGAAUUGGUUAUCAAAGAACCAAUGAUUAUUUUCCAGAACUGGUUUUCUGCCAGUCAGUCAUAUGGCAUUGUAUCUCUUGUUUAAACACUGUGAACUAGGGCUGAACUCAAAUCUAAUUAAUUAACUUGACUAACAAUGCCUUGAUUAAUGGCAAACAUGAAUAUAUGCAGUGAUAUGAGUGUCCUACAUACAUUUUAUAUGCAUGUAUAUUUACAUACAAACAUAUAAAUGCUUAUAUAUACAUACACACACACACACACACACACACACACACACACACACACACACACACAUAUAUAUAUAUAUAUAUAUCCAAACAUAUAUAUACAUAUAUAUAUACAUAUAUACAUACAUAUACAUACAUACAUAUAUAUACAUAUAUACAUACACAUUAUCAUCCUCAUCGUUUAAUGUCCACUUUCCUUGCUGACAUGGGUUGGAUGGUUUCACUGAGGACUGGCAAGCCAGGAGGCUGCACCAGGCUCCAGUCUGAUCUGGCAAAGUUUCUACAGCUGGAUGCUCUUCCCAAUACCAACCACUCUGAGAAUGUAGUGGGUGAUUUUUUAUGUGCCACCAGCACAGAAGCCAGUCAGGCAGCACUGGCAUCAAUCAUGCUCGAAUGGUGCAUUUUAUGUGCCACUGGCAUGGGAACCAGUCAGGCAACACUGGCACCGACUAUGCUCAAAUGAUGCUCUUUUAUAUAUUUAUACAUACAUGCAUAUAUAUGUAUAUAUUCAUAUACAUAUAUAUAUACAUACAUACACAUAUGUGUGUGUGUGUUUUACAGAUCAGUCUUGUUUCACAACCACAUGGUUUUGGAUUCAAUCCCACUGUGUGCUAGUGACUUCUAGUCUAGCUCCAGGUCAACUAUUGCUGCCCCAGUGAAUUUGGCCAAUAGAAACUGUGUGAAAGUUUGUCACAUAUGUAUAAAUACAUACAUAUUUCCUCCUGCCACUUCUUUCUCUCUCUCUCUCUCUCUCUCCCUUUCUCUCUUCUCAACAGCUCUUCUUUUUUUGCACUUUGCUUUUUUCGUUGAUUGUUUUCUUCUGAUGAAAGACAAGUGUCCGAAUCAUUGAGGCACUUUCAAUUCUUUUUUUUUUAAGCACUAAACAAUCCAAUAUUUAUUAAAACUUGUCCUUCCUCUGUUGGGUUUUUUCUUUUUAAUUUUGUUCAUUGUUUUUACAAUACAUGCAUAUAUGCUUACAUACAUAUGCAUAUAUAUAUAUAUAUAUAUAUAUAUAUAUAUAUAUAUAUAUAGUCACCAUGAUAGAUCAUUAGCCACUACACACAUUUAUUUUCUCUCCUUGUUUUUUCUGUGUCGCUUUCUGUAGAAGAGCAUAGGCUCAAAAUGUAAAAGACUUUUUCUAUUCCUGAGCGUUAUACUAAUACAUCUGUUUGUUUUGUACACCACCUGUCUUCGUCUUUUGUUUUUUUUUGUAAACUCUCCCUAUAUAUAUAUAUAUAUCGUUCAAAUUUACAGAAAACAAAAGACAAAGACAGGGGAAGGAACGACAAGCAGGUGUAUUAGUUUGACACUCAGGAAGAAUGGAAAAGUCAUUGAUGUUUCAAACCUCUUUGACAGACAGGAAAAAUAUUGAACAAAAAUAUAUAGAGACAAAAAAAUUGUGCAGGGAUUAACUGUUCCACAUCUACAUAUGUAUGUGUGUGUGUGUGUAUACAUGUAUGCUUGUGUGUGUACAUGUAUGUAUCUUCAUGUUAUCUUUCCUCCAUCUCCUGACAACCAGUGUAGGUUUGUUUACACCUCUUGUUUACACCUUGACAGUUCAGCAUAUGGAGACUCGAUAGACUAGGUCCCAGGUUUAAAAUAGGUCCCAGGAUCAAUGCAAUCCAAACUUAAAGAUAAAACACACCUUCAAAGAGAAAUGCUCCAGUAUGGUCACAAACCUACGUAGAAGAAUACAAAAACAAAACGGCAUUUAUAUAUGCACAUUUUUUUUUCCUUUUUGAUAGGGUUGACCAUUUAUACAAAUAUAUAAAUAACUAAACAUAAUAUUCUUACGAGGCAAUAAUUUUAUCCAAAUAUAAUUUUAUGAUGCCCCUUUUUAUGAUCAUCAGUUAAGCUUCAAGAAUUUAUCCGCUGCUGCAGAAAGCUCAAAACUAAGUGUUCCUCCUCCACCAGUCUACCAAAAUUUGUUGCUGUUUGAUGGGUACUUUUGUCAUCAGCAUUUAUUUUGUGUCUAUUUUAUUUGAUGAACUAGGAGGCCGGACAUUUAAAAUAGAAACGCCAACCUAGACAUCUAUAUGCGUGUGUAUGUAUGCAUGUGCAUGUAUUUAUAUAUAUAUAUAUAUGUAUAUAUAUAUGUAUGUAUGUAUAUACAUGUAUAUAUAUCUAUAUAUAUAUAUAUAUAUAUAUAUAUACAUACAUGUAUGUAUAUAUAUAUGUAUGUAUAUACAUGUAUGUAUAUAUGUAUAUACAUGCAUAUAUAUAUAUGUAUAUAUAUGCAUAAUAUAUAGAGACAUAUAUAUGUGUGUGUGUAUGUAUGUAUAUAUAUAUAUAUAUACUUAUAUAUAUAUGUGUGUGUGUAUAUAUAUAUAUAUAUAUAUACAUAUAUAUAUAGGUAUAUAUAUGUGUGUGUAUAUAUAUAUAUAUAUACACACACACACUUAUAUACAUACUCAUGUACACACAUACAUAUAUAUACACAUAUGUACACUAUACAUAUGUAUAUAUAUAUGUGUGUGUGUGUGUGUAUAUAUGUAUACGUGUAUAUUUAUAUAUGCAUGUGUGUUUAUACAUGUGUGUGUGCGUGUGCAUGUAGAUGUAUGUAUGUAUAAACAACAGUUCCUGUGUUUGUUUGCUUUAUUUAUCCUGUUACUGAUUGAUCUUCGCACUGACGUCUCCCUUCCUCCCACGACCACCAGCCCCUUGCAUCUCCUCCCUAAACACACAGAUCAAUAACGUAUAGCAUUGUUUUAUUACCUAACGAAAUAAACUAGAUUUAUGACUAGACAAAAGUAUCAGUUCUCUCUCUCCCCCUCUCCUUGUCUCCCUGUCUCCUAUCUCCCUGUCCCCCUCUCUCUCUUUCUCUGUCUCUCUCUCUCUCUCUCUCUCUCGCUUGUUCUAACAGCAAGAGACUUUUUGCAAUGCUUUCUUAAAAUACAUAAAAAUAAGCAAUGGUGGUCACUAUGUUGCAGGAGGGCUGAGGUGUCAGGGAAGGAGAUGGACGGUGGGGAGCGGACGAAGAAGAGCUUACUGCAAGUUGUGGUGAUUGUGGUUUUACAAUAAGGAUGUUGCUGAGGGUGGGUAUGGUGGUGGUGGUGGUGAUGAUCAUGGUGGUGGUCAUCGUCAUGGUGCUGGUGUUUGUGGUGGUGGUGAUGAUGGUGGUUGCAGUGGUGGCAGUGGUUGUGGUGGUGGUUAUAGUGAUGGUGGAUGAGGUAGUGGUGAUAGUAGUGGCAAUGGUGGUGGUUGUGGUGGCAGCAGUGUUUACAGUGGUAAUAGUGGUGGUUGUCAUUGUGGAGUCAGUGGUUGUGGUGGCAGUGGAGGUAGUGAUGGUAAUAGUAGAGGUUGUGGUGGUGGUGGUGGUGGUAGCAUUGUCACAGUCAUCACGACUGAUUGUCUGCACAGUAACUGCUAUGACUACCAUCUUUAACUAUUACCUCCAUCAUCACCACCACUUCUUUCACUGCCCUCACCACCACCACCACCACUAUCACCACGAGUACAAACAACAAUAGCCCCAACAUCAUCACCACUAUCACCUCAAUAGCUACCGUUAUCAUAACUACUGCCACCACCAUCUCUACCACCACUGACAUAACUGUUGCAAUCACCACCACCACUGCAACAACAACAACCACUGCAAACACUGACACCACCCAAUCACCACCGGCACUGCCAACACCACCACCAUCACCAUAAUUAUCAUCAUUACCACAAUAACAUCAAUAACAUCAUUGUCCCCACCACCAUCACCAUAGCUAUCAUCACAACCACCAUAACUGUCCUCAUUACAAAACCUGCCUCCACCACCACCAUCGCCUUAACUAUCUUCUUUAUCAUUGUGACAACCACUACCAUCACCACCACCAACAACAACAACAACAACGACAAAAACACAAUAACCACUUCACCACCCCCAUUAUCAUUACUAUUCUCACUGCUAUCAUCAGCAUCAUCACCCCCAUCAGACAUAAGCAUACCUGAAAGGGGGAUUUUCACCACCACCACCCCACUUUAGACCUACUUAAGCAAAGAUGACUAACAUUAUUCAAUAAUAAUAUCGCUAGCAAUCAUAUAAUCACCAUGAAAAAUUACAAAAAUUAUCCUUCUCGUUAUCACAAUUAGAAAUACGCAUUGAUAUUACUGCCAUUAACAUCAUUGAUAAUAUUGCUGUGGAACAAACAAUCUUUGUUUUUGUGAGUCAGGCUUGAUCAUGUAGCUGUACCUACUUCAAAGUGUUGGCCUUUGUAGGGUAUUCAGCCAUCCUGGGUUUCCUGGGACUCAUUCAGUUUUUCAAAAAACAGUCCUGGCUGUGUUGUCCAGGAUGACAUUGUAUUUUAAUUUCAAAAAUAAGUUUUCUUAAAUAUUAUUCUGUUUACUUUUAUGAUGUAAUACUUUUUAAAAAAAGUGUUUUAGCCUUUUAUGAAUCUUUUAGUUUUUAGAUUAUACAGUUUUACACACACAUAUAUAUAUAUAUAUAUGUAUAUAUAUACAUAUAUAUAUGUGUGUAUAUAUAUACACAUACAUAUAUAUGUAUAUGUUUGUGUAUCUGUGUUUGUUCCCCCGCCAUUGCUUUGACAACUGAUGUUAGUGUGUUUACAUCCCUGUAACUUAGCAGUUUAGCAAAAGAGACCGAUAGAAUAAGUACUAGGCUUACAAAGCAUAAGUCCUGAGGUUGGUUUGUUUGACUAUAGGUAGUGCUUUGGCAUGGCUGCAGUCAAAUGACAAAAACAAGUAAAAGAAUAUACAUGUCAUUGAUCACACAACCCCCAAAACUUGAUCCAAUGGAAAUUUAAGGAUGGGAGAACCAAAGGGAUAAUGAUCUGUCUCAGUACUUAGCUUGUUCUCAUUGCAUCUAAGUAGACUGGAGCAACACAAUACACUACUACACUGCCUGUUCUAGGAAUUGAACCCACAGUUUAUGAUUACAAACUCAACACUCUUACCACUAAUCCCCACCCACCAAGCCUUUAUUAGUUGAAAUAAGUUCUGACUUAACUGAUGUUGUCAUUAUCAACAGUAUUUUGACCAUUUUGAUUGCCCAUAACUAACAGACACAAUCAUAGCCCUGCUUCAAUGCCUCCUUCAUCUCCUCCUCUCCAUCACCACCGACAUCAUUUUCGGCCUUGGCGUCAUUGUCAUGAUUAUCAUCAUCGUCAUUUUUAUCUGCUUAACAACUACAUAUCUGUUGCUGUCAGAGCGCCAAUAUAUUUAUUCCCAAUGGAAAUGGUAUUUGUGUAUUUCUGCUCUCUGCUCGUUCCGAUAAUACACUCUAACGAGACUUUAUAAUUGACCCUGCCUCACAUACUUCAUUAGAACGUUUACAGAUAUUCCAAAUACUUAUAUAUAUAGAUCUAUAUAUGCUGGUAUACACUUCUAACAACGUCGAGGAGGAGCAGGAUGAUGAUGAUGAUGAUGACGAUGAUGAUGAUGAUAAUGUGGAGGAGGAGGAUUACAAUAAUGAUGGUGAUGAGGAUAAUGACGAUGUUGGCAGUGAUGAUAAUGAUGAUGAGGCCAAUGAUGAUGAUGAUGAUGAUGACACCGAUAAUAAAGUAACGAUGAUGGUGGUGGUGACGAUGAAGAUGAUAACAAUGAUAAUGAUGGUAGUGAUGAUGAUGCUCAUGGUAAUGAUGAUUACAAUGACGCCAACACCGACGAUGAUGAUGAUGAUGAUGAUGAUAACGAUUGAUGGUGAUGGUGGCGGUAAUGAUGAUGAUGGCGAUGAGGACAGCAGAACUUUAUCAAACAGUGUUUCACUUUACUGAGUUCAAACCCAAAAUGAGAUACCAAUGGUCCGUAAUUUGAAGCGAGAAGUUUAUCGGAAAUUUUACUGAUCACCUUUUUUUCCCCUCCAUUUUCUUUCUUUAUUUUACUUUCAUUUUCUCUUCUUCUUUCCAUUGGUAAUAAGGGUGGGGUGGGUGAGAUUUGUUGAGAGAAGUUGCGAUAGCAAAAUUGAAUAUAUUGCCAUUGUUGUUGUUGUCGUUGUUGUUGUUGUUGUGGGGAGGGGGGAGUGGCGGUGGUGGUAACAGUUAGAAGAGAUAAUAUUUCUAAGAUGGUGAGAAUGAUAAGAUGUUUAUGACAAUAAAGAGUAAAAAUACAAUAAACAUUUCCAUAACUGAUGACGACUUUGAGGAGAAAAAGGACGAUAAGGAUGAUGAUGAUGAUGAUGAUGAUGAUGAUGAUGAUGAUGAUGAUGAUGAUGAUGAUGAUGACGACGACGAUGACGACGACGACGACGACGAGGAGGAGGAGAAGGAGGAGGAAUAUCACAAGGAUGGUGUUGGUAAUGAUAAGUAUGAUGAUAAAUAUGUUGACAAUUGUGAUGAUGGUGAUUAUGACAAUGAUGACGGUGUUGGUAAUGAUGCUGAUGAGGAUGACGGCGAUGACGACGAUGAAGAUGAUGAUGAUAAUGUUGAUGAUCAUUACAGUGAUAAUGUGUUAGAUUUCUAGAUGAUAAAUGAAUAUAUAUAUGUGUGUGUACCUGUAUGUGUGUGUUUCUAUGCAUGUGUGUGUGUGUGUGUAUAGUGUGAUGUAAUGUUAAAGUUCUUAUCACAAGUGUAUUAGUAACAUCAGUGAAGCAAACUGUCUUUGUUUGUAAACUAAAAACAGAAAAUGAUGAAGUCUAUAGCAAAAUUUGUAGACUUAAUCCAAGGCAACCGUUUGGCCAAGUCAUGAAAGUUUGUGGUAUUUAUUUCAGCUCUUUGCAUUCUGUGUUCAAAUCCUGUUACUUUUUUUACUUAAUUUGCUUUUACUCAUUCUGGAGUCAAUAAAACAAAACAACUAUCAAAUACUGAGAUCCUGGGCUCAAUUCUUUACUUUCUCUGGGUAUGUUGCAUUGUGGGAAAGAAAUAUUAGGGCAGUGAGAAUGGUACUCACAGUAUCCCUGUACUCCUACAUAACCGUUUCCACUCCAUCAUGGUGGAAGAGUAUCCAGCUGUAGAAACCUUGCCAGAUAAGAUUAGAGCCUGGUGCAGCCUCCUGGAUUUCCAGUCCCCAGUCAAACCGUCCAACCCAUGCCAGCAUGGAAAAACAGACGUUAAUCGAUGAUGAUAUAUAUGAUAUAUAUAAUCUAUAUACAUGAUAGGCUUCUUUCCCCUUCUGUCAAUCAAACUCACUCACAAAGUAUUGGCAGGCCUGGAACUAUUGUAGGAAAACACUUACUCAAGGUGCCAAGCAGAGGAGCUGAACCCAAGGCCAUGUGAAUGGGCAGCAAACUUCUUAACUCUACAGCCAUGCCUGUCGCUCUCUAAUAAUAAAACUUCCUAAUUUGGGCACAAGGCCAGCAAUUUUUGAGGUGGGAACUCCACUUGCAGACUUGCAAUGUUACUCAUUUCAUUGAAUGCCGCAAGAAAAAAUGGAUGAAAGAUAGAGUCAACUUCAGUAGCAAUUGUACUCAGAACAUAAAAUGCUGAAAGAAACAUCAAAAGGUGCUUUUUUUUUUGCCAAUAUUCCUACAAUUCAACCAAUCCACAGUUAACCUGUAUUUACAAGAUUCCUAUAACUUUUGAGCUGCAUCUGUAUUUGGCCGAAAGCACAGAUAUAUUCCUCGUUGUUGUUUAUGAUUUCUUUCCUUUGCCAUUUUAACCUUUUGUACAUGAGAAACCUUUGUAUUCAUUAUGAAGUAGUUACAAUUACUUAAAACAACUUUAGUAGCCUUUCAAAGAGAUUUCCUCUUCUGCUGUUGGUAACUGUCUUUAAUAUCAAGAGCAUUCUUGUAUUCUUGCUGCUUUUGAAGUGUAAGCCACUUAGGCUCUGCAAUAAAGAUAUCAAAAACAAUGGGAAUUGUUUAUGAGAGAAACUUCAAUGACCAUCCAAACUUUUAAACAUACAUAUAUGCACAUAUAUAUGCAUAUACACAUGUGUGCAUGUAUGUGUGUGUGCAUGUGUCUACACACACACCACUGUGUUUGUAUAUACAGGUAUAUAUAUAUACAUAUACACCAUUUUCCCUAUCCUCCUCCUCAUUAUCUCAUCAUCUUCAUCACCAUCAUCAUCGUUGUCAUCACCAUUGUUUUAGCAUCCCCUUUUUCAUGCUUGCAUGAGUCAGACAGGAAUUUGUUGAGGCAGGUUUCCUACAGCUGGAUACCCUUCCUGUCACCAACCUGUGCCAGUUUUCGAGUCAGACAAUAUUUUCUCCCAUGCUCAGAUGUGAUUUUCACUAAAGACUGGAGACAAACAACAUUGUUUGUAUGACAAUGGCACUCAUUUACUACAAUUAAGUGAUGUGUACAACAGUACACAAAAACACACAUACAUACAUGUCCAAAAACACACAUACACACACAUACCACACACGCACAUACACAUACACUCACACACACACACACACACAAACACACUCACACUCAUAUGUAUACCACUUCUGUUACCUACCUAACUGUAGGCUGCAACCAAACAAAACUCUGUACAUUCCCAUAUAUGUCUUCAGAUAUAUAGAAAUACACAAGGAGUAUUAAUGCUGUGCUAGAAUUCAAACUGAAAUUACACGUUAUAGAUAGAUAGAUAGAAAGAUAGAUAGAUAGAUAGAUAGAUAGAUAGAUAGAUAGAUAGAUAGAUAGAUAGAUAGAUAGAUUGAUAGAUAUGGUGACGAUGAAUAUAGCAAGGAUAGUGACGGUUAUGAAAAUUUCUUUGUGCAGGAAGUUGCAUUAACUACCACUACAACUGUGAGGCUGAUGAUUUUGAUGAUGAUAAUGAUAAUGAUGAUGAUGAUGAUGUGCUGGUGGUGGUGAUGAUGAUGGUGAUGAUGAUAUGACAACUGCUAUGGUAAUGUUAAAGAUGAUGAUUGUCAAUUUGCAUGUGAUUGCCACUCAUAGACAAUGAAGGUGACAACAACAACAACAUCGAACAAUAUAAAAUAGACUUGCAAUCAAAGGCAAUAAAACUGAUGAUGAUGAUGAUGAUGAUUAUAAUGAUGAUGACAAUGAUGAUGAUGAUGAUAACGAUGACGAUGGUGGUUGCAGUUGUGGUGGUGGUGGUGGUGGUGGUGGUAAUGACGAUGACGACAACAAUAACGAAAGCGAUGAUAAUGAUGAUGGUGAUGAUGAUGAUGAUGGUGAUGAUGAUGAAGGUGAUGAUGGUGAUGAUGAUGAUGAUGAUGGUAAUGAUGGGGAUGACAGUGGGGACGAUGAUUAUAAUGAUGAUGCCAAUGACAACGACGCUGACGACGAUGACAAUGAUGAUGAUGAUGAUAAAUAUAAUGUGAUCACUUGUAAGACAUUCUAUCAAUCUGACAGAUUCGAUAACCUACCCUGUAUAGUUUGAAAUUGAUAUCAGCCAGUGCCAAAACUUUUUGUCUGUCAAUUGUACUCCUCUGAACGAGACGUUGGCCUGAAGAUCAUUCAACAUGGCAGAUUGGAAAUAAAAUAUUAAAAAAAUUAUCCGAUAACAGAUAAUAACUUGUCUUAAUAGGAUUCUAGUACGGUACUUCAAAAAAUUCCAAUUCACAAAUGACACUGCUACAUGUUAAAUUCCUAAUUCACUCGUUACAUUCCUACUCGUCUUCCAGACUCCUCCUAUUCAUUCCCUAAACUUAUUCUCACUUGCUUGACCCAUCGCACCAUUCAUAUAGUUCAUACAUAUAUAAUUGAGGCAUACAUAGUUCAUGCAGUAUGUUAUGUAAAGCUCUUCCACAGCUAGUGGCUACUUGAGGCCAUCAGGCAGUAGAAAUGCUCCUGCUACUGGAUAUAUAACAAGAAUUCCAUGGUGUCAGUAGAGUUUAUUUAAAUGGAUGAAUGAUAGAAAAUGGAAUGAACGAAAUUCUUUAUUUUAAAUCGCUACAAUUUUUUUUACUCAUUUUUACACCCAUAGUACAUUGAUGAGAUGUGCAACCAUUAUCCUUUUUCCAAGGUAUAAAAUGUGCCUUCUCAGGUGAUUAUUUAAAGUCCUUUAUUUCAUUCAGUCUGAGAAUACAUAUACUAAGUGAUGUGACAGUUCCUAUGUAUACAUACAUGCAUACACACAUACAUACAUACAUACAUAUAUAUACAUACAUAUAUACAUACAUACAUAUAUAUAUAUAUAUUUUACUCUUUUACUUGUUUCAGCUAUCUGACUGUGGCCAUGCUGGAGCAUCGCCUUUAGUUGAGCAAAUCGCCCCCAGAGCUUAUCCUUUGUAAGCCUAGUACUUAUUCUAUCAGUCUCUUUUGCUGAACCACAAAGUUACGGGGGUGUAAACACUCCAGCAUUGGUUGUCAAACGAUGUUGGGUGGAUAAACACAGAUGCACAAACAAAUACACACACAUACAUAGAUAUAUAUAUAUAUAUAUGUUUGUUGUCUACACCACCUAUCUUCGUCUUUUGUUUUUUGUGAAUUCUCCCCCUAGAUAUAUAUAUAUAUAAAUAUAUAUAUAUAUAUAAAUAUAUAUAUAUAUAUAUAUAUCCGACAGGCUUCUUCCAGUUUCCAUCUACCAAAUCCACUCACAAGGCUUUGGUCAGCCCCCAGGGCUACAGUAGCAGACACUUGCCCAAGGUGCCUCACAGUGGGACUGAACCCAGAACCAUGUGGUUGGUAAGCAAGCUACUUACCACACAACCACUCCUGUGCUGAGCGUCAAAUAAUACUUUAAUUGUUCCACGUCCUCGCGUUGCUAUGUUUUUUUCUGUGUUUUCUUGUUUGGAUUAACUAUAUAUAUAUAUAUAUAUAUAUGUAGUCCCUACAUAUAAUAUGCUGGUAUUUUGAUGCAAUAAAUGACAAAGACUUAAUUACAUCUCUUUCACGCAACAUGUCUGCAUACAUUUGUCUCCUGCUUUUCCAUGCCAAUUCUAUAAGCGCCUCUACUGCAUUAAACAGUCAGAAGAGAUCUAUGCUCAUAGACAUACAAAAUGGUUCUAUUUUGUGUUUUUCUUUUUCCACUACAUACGAUGACUUCUGCCUUUAAUUAUCUAACUUCAACAAUUCACUACCAAUUCCAUUUUACAGCAAUUUGAUCCGGCCUUAUUUAUUCUUCCAUGUAACAUUCCUUUUAUUCUUUCAAUCUCCUGGAUAAUUCUCUCACUCCAGGAACUCCCUUAGAUUUUCAACAAAUUUUCUUUAAUUGGAAGAAGACAAAUGCAUAAAAAGAAUCAUAAAGAGAGUAUACAGAAUGUUCAAAAAGUCAAUCCGUAGUUGAUUAAUACAUGCAAAGGAAAGAAAAUGUUCUCAAUGCAGGAAACUUGGAAAUUUGGCAAAAAAACAGGUGGAAAUGAUCCUUAUUUUCAAAAUGAAACAAAUUAGACAAAAUAAAGUUUCUCUUCGUUUUUUUGUUCCUUUCAAAAUAUAAUUCACUGCCUUUAACAGGACUUGAACCAGUCAUUCAUGAACCAUAUUCCUGGAAUAUCAAUAGUUUUUUUGUUUUUCUCACGUUGUUACAUUUUUCUAUUUGUAAAUGAGUAACACAUGUUUGGAAACAAGAAAAAUAAGUGGUUUCAUGACGGCAGUCAAUAGAAACAUCAGCAUAGAACAUAAUUUCAAGAGGUAAUUUAACACUAACCGCAACGGAAAACUUUGGGGAGUACACAGGCACAAACACACACACACUUUGAUCUAAAUAUAACUUUCCUGGAGAGAUGAAACAAACAGUCUGUUUGUAUCAGAAAAAACACUUUAAUAUACUAUGUGUCACGUGUAUUUUAGUAGUAAAUAUCACAGAGUAAUCUGGGAAACCUGUUUCAUUUCCUGGCUACAACAAUUUUAUUUCAAUUACAUUUCUUUUUUUUUUAUUUCAGUUUUGUAUUUGGUUUGCACACACACACACACACACACACACACACACACACACACUGGUUCUGUUUUACUUCUUUUAGUAUUAUUAGUCAACUAGUUAGCCAGUUAGUUAAUUAAUAAUGAUGGUGAUAAAAGAAGUGAAAUAGAAUCAAUGCAUAUAUUUAUUAUUAGUAUAACAACCCUCCCAACAUACAACUAAUUCAAUUUUUUUUAUUUUGGUAAGAACAUCACGAACAUCUCAACAGUCUGUUUUGCUAUUUGAAUCUUUCUCUUCCAUGUCUUUGAAAGAUUUCAAUAUAUUAAGGAAUGUUCUAUAGGAAAUUUCCAUGUCAACAUAUAUAUCUUUAGAAUUGUCUAACCCAUUAGCAAUUAUCUCCUUUCUCAUUUCCUUCGGUUUAGUUUCUCAGAUGAUAUUAAAACAAUCCUCUAUUUUUGUGUUUGAUAUUUGAAUUUCUCUAGUUUCUUUUUUGCCUUUUUUUCUUUAUUUAAUGGAGUAGUACACAGAAUUUCAGGUCAAUUAGUUGCAGAGAUAUUGCCUCGUCUCUCUUUUGAGAAAGAUUUUGGCCACUCCUAGUAUCUUCCACUUUAUUUUCCAUUUUCUAGUCUCUUGUGAGAUCAAAGGCAUUGUUCUUUAGCAGUUCACAGUCUUUAACAAGGGAAAGAAUUUUAUGGACAAUUUUCUGCAGAAAAUUUCAACUAAGUCAAUUUUGUGAUGGCGUCAAAAUAUUUUAUCUGUUUUGUAUUUUAUUCGACCAAUUCUCCUUGCAUACAUUAUGCAAACAGUUUUGUUUGCUAUGGUACAUAUAUUUUAUGAAAGACAGUAAAUAUAUUGCAUACAAUUAUAUAAAUAAUUCAAGCACUCAAAACUAAUUAGUAUAAUUGUGUUAAACCGUGUCAAAGCUGAAGAUGUAUUUGUUAAUCAAUUUUAUUGCUUAUUUAUCUUUCCAAACUGACAACUGGUCUGUUAAAUGUCUCUAGACACACAUUGCUGCAACACAUGCACAAAAAUACACCCAUACACACAAGUAAUUAUGCAUAAAUGCAAACAUAAACGCACCACUUAUGAAAAAAAUUAAACCAUAACAGAUGCACUCUAAUAUUUUACAAGAGACAAACACUAAUUAAUACAGCAAUUAAUUUGAUGUUUAUUUGUAUUUCUAUAUAAAAAAUUCAUGCAAUCACUAAUAUUUUCAGUCGCAUUAAAUCUUUACUUCAAAUUCUAUAGACUAAGUGAUUUUAGUUUAAACUGUUCUAUUUUUAUUUCUGUAUCAUUGCAAUAAUGACUUGGUUGUUUAUAAAUAGAAUAAAUAAACAAACCAGCAAAUAAACUAGUUCACUUUUGUUGUGUUCUGUUAGCAAAGCAAUAUUUAAUUAUUUCAGCAUGGAAACUUUGGAAAUAGCACAGGAAAAAAAAAAGACAACAAUAUUUGACAGAUUUUUUUCCUCUCCUUUAGUUUAAUAUUUUCACAUAAUUUGGAUGAAGAACAGAUGUAAAACAAAAGUUUCUCUAUUUUACAUGAUUUAAAUCCCACACAGGGGUUCCUUGGGGAUUUUACCUCGUUCAAUUAUUUGCUGAGAAUAUGAUACCACUCUUCCUAGUUCCUUUUGAGCAGAAUAUUUUGGCAAUUUUAGCAAUAGACUCUAAAGAAAACAUUUACUGCAAGUAAUUCUGUUGUAUCUUACGAGAAACUCUUUGGGGGAAAAAAUUGUCCCCAAAAUUCUAGCUAAACAAAUAUACAUUAAUAAAAGUGUGUGUUUCUCAAAAUAGUAACAGUUAAACUUAAAUAUGUUAUUUCGAUGUUACAAUCUGAAAAAAUGGUAAAAUAUAUUUCUGUGCACAAACACUAGCAUCCACAUUUUAAAGGUUAAACCAAAUUAAUAAUAUAAAACAUCUGCAACACUUUAUAAGAUUAUUGUCGCUGGUGUUGUUAUUAUUUUUAUUAUCAUUAACAUUAUUAUUAUUAUUAUUAUUAUUAUUAUUAUUAUUAUUAUUAUUAUUAUUAUUACCACCAUUGCCACCAUCAUUAUUAUUGUAUUUCUUUUAGAUUUCUUCUAUGUAAUUCUAUUAUUAAAAUAGUCUUGAACUGUCUAUAAUUAUUUUCUAUGUAAUUUUGAUAAAUGUUAAACAUUUAAAGAAAAACAGAAAGAGAUAGUAAUACUAUAAAAAAGGCGGGAGGGAUGAUUCUAUAACUAAUCUGACAGAUCUUUUGGAGAUUAAAUUGAUUAUGCAUUGUUAAAAUAUUGAUCUAAUUUAUAGGAGACUCUGCUCAGAGAUAAAUUUGCCUCAACAAAUUUUAAAUGUUUUAAAGAGAAAAAAAUAUGUAGCAUAAAACGACACAUUUUUUGUGUUGCUGAAGACAUAGAUGUUUCUACUCUUAGUAUCUUGUGAUUAAGAUUUAGAACAAGGUUUAAAAUGGGUUAAAAUGUGUAGGCGCAAGCAUGUCUAUGUGGCUAUGAAGCUUUUUUCUGUGGCCAUGUGGUUUUGGGUUUUGUCCUACUGUGUGGCAUCUUGGCAAGUGUCUCCCUGCACAAGCCAAAACCUUGUGAGUGAAUUUGAUAGAUAGAAAUGGAGUGGUAGAACAUCAUAUAUAUAAACAGUCCUUCAGAGAUAUGCUAUGCUUGAGAAGACCUGGCAAUCCAAGUGAGUUUGUAGCCAUGGCCGAUGCCAGUGUUGCAUAACUGGCCCUUUAAAAGUACCUUUCAGUUGUCAAGCAAUAUUCCGUGUUUGAGAAGACCUGUUAAGUUAAGUGAAAUCAUAGUCAUGGCCAAUGCCAGUGCUGCCUGAUUGACACAUAAAAAGUACCAUGUGAACAUGGUCGAUGCCAGUGCUGCCUGACUAGCCCCUUUGCUAGUGGCACAUGAAAGAAUCCACUACACUCUUAGAGUGGUUGGCAUUAGGAAAGGCAUCCAGCUGUAGAAACAUUGCCAGAUCAGAUUGGAUCCUGGUGCAGCCUCCUGGUUUGCCAGUCCUCAGUUAAACCGUCCAACCCAUGCCAGCAUGGAAAGCAGACGUUAAACGAUGAUGACCUUGAUGAUGAUGAUGAUGUUAUUGAUAUAUAUAUAUAUAUAUGUGUGUGUGUGUGUGUGUGUGUGUGUGUGUGUGUGUAUGUAUGUAUGUAUGUAUGUAUGAGCAAAAUUUAGGUUAGAACACUGCUUGGUGUUGACAUUUCGAUAUGUGUGUGUCUUUGUGUCUAUUCCCCUUCCACUUGACGAUUGGUGUUAGUUUGUUUACAUUCUCAUAACUUAGUAGUUUGGUAAAAGACUUGAAAAUAAUAAGCACUGGAGUUGAUUCGAUUAAACCUGUCAAGGCAGCACUCUAGCAUGGCCAUAAUCAAUAACUGGAACAAGUAAAGUAAUAUAAUAACACAUGCUACAUUUUAACGUAUUGAGUACUUUAGUCUAUAUAUAUAAGAGUCUGAUUCUGAUAAAUGAAAACAAAGAUUUGUGCCUCUCAAGUACGAGCUGCAAAAUUACUGUCAUUUAUCUUGUCAACAAGUCCAACCCCUGGCUUUGUACUUUCAAAUACAAGAAUAAGAGAUCCGUUACUUGAAGAAAUAUGUAAUAAAUAUGUAAUAUGUAAUAAAGAAUGGAACAGUAACAAAGACAAAGGAUUAUACUGGUUUCAAGUUUUGGCACAAGGCCAGCAACUCUGGGGGCAGGGUCAAGUUGCUUACAUUGACCCCCCAAUGUAUGACUGGUAUUUAUUUUAUCAAACAGAAAGAUGAAAUGAUGAAAAGCAAAGUCGGCUUUGACAGAAUUUGAACUCAGAAUGUUAAGACGGACAAAAUGCCACCAAACAUUUUACCAGUUCACCACCUUAUGACAGAGUAUAACGUUCUUUUCUACUCUAGGCAAAAGGCUCAAAAUGUCUGAGGAAGGGGGUCAAUCGAUGAGAUUGACCCUAGUAUGCAACUGGUAUGUAAUUUAUUGACCCCGAAAGGAUGAAAGGCAAAGUCAACCUCCUCGGAAUUUGAACUCAGGAUGUAAAGACAGACGAAACACUGCUAAGCAUUUCAACCCGGUGUACUAACAAUAUUGCCAGCUCGCUGCCUGGACAGAGUGUAAUAUUACCGACAACUCCGGGUAAAUGAAACACAAAGUUAAUAUUAACCGUACUUAAACUUAGGAUUUAGCAGACUGAAGCUAAAUAAAUUCUGCCGCCUUAGAUAUCUGCAUGGCCCCAACUCAAUGAAUAAUAUUCCAAAUAUUCUUUAUCUUAAAAC
rnacentral:lncRNA from 1 species